UGUAGAUAAAUAAACUGUACAGAUAUGUGAAAAAGAACAAACUCUUACAUAUCCAUUUUGAUAUACAAAGUUAAUACUAUAUAAGGGCAAUUUCUUUUACAGUUUUUAUUAAAAAGAAAAGAUGAACAUUUUCGGUGUAAUAUUCAUAAUUGCUACUAUUUGUAAUGUUGUAAGGGCGGAGUUACCAAUUGAUAUCAAGGGAAUUCCGCGAAAUUUUGGAUAUUCUGACAAUCUUCAGAUAGAUAUCGGUUAAAACAUUUUUUUUAUAAAUUGCUUUUGUAAAAAUUUAUUGUUGCUUUUUGAAUAAAUUAAAUACAGCUGAU